rnacentral:rRNA from 1 species
UGAUCCCGGUACGAAAGCUUCGGUGGUUGGAGAUGGGCAUGCGUGACAUUAGCUAGUUGGCGGGGCAACGGCCCACCAAGGCUGCGAUGUCUACGGGGAGCCUGAGAGGCUAAUCCCCCACACUGGUACUGAGACACGGACCAGACUCCUACGGGAGGCAGCAGUGAGGAAUAUUGGUCAAUGGUCGGAAGACUGAACCAGCCAUGCCGCGUGGGGGAAGGAGGCCCUAUGGGUUGUAAACCCCUUUUUGCACGGGAGUAAUAAGGUUCUUGCGAGGGCCGAUGAGAGUACCGUGCGAAUAAGCAUCGGCUAACUCCGUGCC